UCAACAAUAAAAAUUGAGGAG
rnacentral:piRNA from 1 species